GAUGAACGCUGGCGGCGUGCUUAACACAUGCAAGUCGAACGGGAAACCUUUUAUUGAAGCUUCGGCAGAUUUAGCUGGUUUCUAGUGGCGGACGGGUGAGUAACGCGUGGGUAACCUGCCCUAUACAGGGGGAUAACAACCAGAAAUGGUUGCUAAUACCGCAUAAGCGCACAGGGCCGCAUGGUCCGGUGUGAAAAACUCCGGUGGUAUAGGAUGGACCCGCGUUGGAUUAGCCAGUUGGCAGGGUAACGGCCUACCAAAGCGACGAUCCAUAGCCGGCCUGAGAGGGUGAACGGCCACAUUGGGACUGAGACACGGCCCAGACCCCUACGGGAGGCAGCAGUGGGGAAUAUUGCACAAUGGGGGAAACCCUGAUGCAGCGACGCCGCGUGAAGGAAGAAGUAUCUCGGUAUGUAAACUUCUAUCAGCAGGGAAGAUAGUGACGGUACCUGACUAAGAAGCCCCGGCUAACUACGUG
rnacentral:rRNA from 1 species